GACGAACGCUGGCGGCGUGCCUAAUACAUGCAAGUUGAGCGAUGAAGAUUGGUGCUUGCACCAAUUUGAAGAGCAGCGAACGGGUGAGUAACGCGUGGGGAAUCUGCCUUUGAGCGGGGGACAACAUUUGGAAACGAAUGCUAAUACCGCAUAACAACUUUAAACAUAAGUUUUAAGUUUGAAAGAUGCAAUUGCAUCACUCAAAGAUGAUCCCGCGUUGUAUUAGCUAGUUGGUGAGGUAAAGGCUCACCAAGGCGAUGAUACAUAGCCGACCUGAGAGGGUGAUCGGCCACAUUGGGAGUGAGACACGGCCCAAACUCCUACGGGAGGCAGCAGGAGGGAAUCUUCGGCAAUGGGCGAAAAUCUAACCGAGAAACGCCGCAUGCGUGAGGAAGGGUUUCGGAUCGUAAAACUCUGUUGGUAGAGAAGAAAGUUGGUGAGAGUGGAAAGCUCAUAAAGUGACGGUAACUACCCAGAAAGGAACGGCUAACUACGUG
rnacentral:rRNA from 1 species